rnacentral:misc_RNA from 1 species
GAUGAAGAACGCAGCGAAAUGCGAUAAGUAAUGUGAAUUGCAGAAUUCAGUGAAUCAUCGAAUCUUUGAACGCACAUUGCGCCCCCUGGUAUUCCGGGGGGCAUGCCUGUUCGAGCGUCAUUUCACCACUCAAGCCUCGCUUGGUAUUGGGCAACGCGGUCCGCCGCGUGCCUCAAAUCGACCGGCUGGGUCUUCUGUCCCCUAAGCGUUGUGGAAACUUUCGCUAAAGGGUGUUCGGGAGGCUACGCCGUAAAACAACCCCAUUUCUAAGGUUGACCUCGGAUCAGGUAGGGAUACCCGCUGAACUUAAGCAUAUCAUAAGCGGAGGA